CGGAUGUAGUUUAGUGGUAGAACUUCAGCUUCCCAAGCUGGCCGUGCGGGUUCGAUUCCCGUCAUCCG
rnacentral:tRNA from 1 species